rnacentral:rRNA from 1 species
GUUCCAGACUCCUACGGGAGGCAGCAGUGAGGAAUAUUGGUCAAUGGGCGCGAGCCUGAACCAGCCAAGUCGCGUGAGGGAUGACGGCCCUACGGGUUGUAAACCUCUUUUGUCGGGGAGCAAAAAGGCUCUGCGGAGUCGUAUUGAGAGUACCCGAAGAAAAAGCAUCGGCUAACUCCGUGCCAGCAGCCGCGGUAAUACGGAGGAUGCGAGCGUUAUCCGGAUUUAUUGGGUUUAAAGGGUGCGUAGGCGGAAUGCCAAGUCAGCGGUAAAAUCGCGGGGCUCAACCUCGCUCCGCCGUUGAAACUGGCGUUCUUGAGUGGGCGAGAAGUAUGCGGAAUGCGUGGUGUAGCGGUGAAAUGCAUAGAUAUCACGCAGAACUCCGAUUGCGAAGGCAGCAUACCGGCGCCCAACUGACGCUGAAGCACGAAAGCGUGGGUAUCGAACAGGAUUAGAUACCCCCGUA